CAUGGUCUUAGCUUGCUAAGGCCGAUGGCGACCGGCGCACGGGUGAGUAACGCGUAUCCAACCUGCCUUACACUCUUGGACAGCCUUCUGAAAGGGAGAUUAAUACAAGAUGUUAUCAUGAGUAAGCAUUUUCGCAUGAUUAAAGGUUUACCGGUGUAAGAUGGGGAUGCGUUCCAUUAGAUAGUAGGCGGGGUAACGGCCCACCUAGUCUUCGAUGGAUAGGGGUUCUGAGAGGAAGGUCCCCCACAUUGGAACUGAGACACGGUCCAAACUCCUACGGGAGGCAGCAGUGAGGAAUAUUGGUCAAUGGACGAGAGUCUGAACCAGCCAAGUAGCGUGAAGGAUGAAGGUUCUAUGGAUUGUAAACUUCUUUUAUACGGGAAUAAACGGAUCCACGUGUGGAUUUUUGCAUGUACCGUAUGAAUAAGGAUCGGCUAACUCCGUGCCAGCAGCCGCGGUAAUACGGAGGAUCCGAGCGUUAUCCGGAUUUAUUGGGUUUAAAGGGGGCGUAGAUGGGUUGUUAAGUCAGUUGUGAAAGUUUGCGGCUCAACCGUAAAAUUGCAAUUGAUACUGGCAGUCUUGAGUACAGUUGAGGUAGGCGGAAUUCGUGGUGUAGCGGUGAAAUGCCUAGAUAUCACGAAGAACUCCGAUUGCGAAGGCAG
rnacentral:rRNA from 1 species